CACUUUCCAGUGUCCACCCUCCCUCCAGCUCAACCCAAAAACCACGCCUUAAACCCUCUCUCUCUCUCUCUCUCUCUCUCUCUCACCAUGGCCAAGUUCUUUAACACCUACUUCACAGUCCUCCUUUGCACUUUUCUGAUCCUUUUCUCUCUACCUCUCUCGCUCUCCGACUCCUCCAUCCAUGACCUCCUUCGCUCCAAAGGCUUACCACCUGGUCUGCUCCCAAGGAGGUCAAGUCCUACACUCUCUUAGAAAAUGGUACCCUAGAAGUCUUUCUGGAUGGGCCAUGCCUGACCAAGUUUGAGAACAGGGUGUAUUUUGACAGUGUUGUGAGGGCUAAUCUCACCUAUGGGAGUCUCAUAGGAGUGGUGGGUCUAUCCCAAGAAGAGCUUUUCUUAUGGCUGCCAGUGAAAGAUAUCAUAGUCGAUGAUCCAAGAUCGGGGCUGAUACUGUUUGACAUAGGUGUCGCUCACAAGCAACUUUCUUUGUCACUCUUUGAAGAUCCGCCGAGUUGUAAGCCUCAAGGUGCCUGGAAGAAUCAUGAGAGGAAGGAGAAAGGUUUUGAGGUUAUGAGAUAGAGAGACGUACGUAUGUCGAUCUGUUUCAAGUACUUUGUUUUGUUUAUGUUUUUAUAUGCUAUGUAAUAACCUAAUGAUAGUUAUAUGCGUAGGUGGGAUUAGAUUAGAGGUUGAGUAAUAUUUUGUAAAGAUGUGCAUUCUGGAAUCAGAUGUCCCAAUCGAAUUAGAAGAGAUAUAAGUUCUAA